AUCAACGCUGGCGGCGCGCCUAACACAUGCAAGUCGAGCGAGAAAGGGGAGCAAUCCCUGAGUAAAGCGGCGUACGGGUGAGUAACACGUGGAUGAUCUACCCUCUAGUGGGGAAUAACCCUGGGAAACCGGGGCUAAUACCGCAUAAGCACGGGAGUGGAAAGCAGCAAUGCGCUGGAGGAGGAGUCCGCGGCCGAUUAGCUAGUUGGCAGGGUAAAAGCCUACCAAGGCAAAGAUCGGUAGCCGGCCUGAGAGGGCGACACGGCCACACUGGAACUGAAACACGGGCCAGACUCCUACGGGAGGCAGCAGUGGGGAAUCUUGCGCAAUGGGGGAAACCCUGACGCAGCAACGCCGCGUGGACGGAUGAAGAUCCCUUGGGACUGUAAAGUCCUUUCGACAGGGACGAUCAUUGACGGUACCGGUGAAGAAGAAGCACCGGCUAACUUCCGUGCCAGCAGCCGCGGUAAUACGAGGGGGUGCAAGCGCUUGUUCGGAAUUAUUGGGCGUAAAGGGCGCGUAGGCGGUGUGGUAAGUCACUGUUGAAAUCCUCCUGGCUCAACUUGGAGCUUGCAGGCAGAAACUGCCGUGCUAGGAGUGUGGGAGAGGUGAGUGGAAUUCCCUGGUGUAGCGGUGAAAUGCGUAGAUAUCAGGGAGGAACACCUGUGGCGAAAGCGGCGCUACUGGACCACAACUGACGCUGAGGCGCGAAAGCUAGGGGAGCAAACAGGAUUAGAUACCCUGGUAGUCCUAGCCCUAAACUAUGAACAGCUUGGUAGUAGCGGGUACCCAAUCCCACUGUGCCGGAGCUAACGCGUUAAGCAUUCCGCCUGGGGAGUACGGUCGCAAGGCUGAAACUCAAAGGAAUUGACGGGGGCCCGCACAAGCGGUGGAGCAUGUGGUUCAAUUCGACGCAACGCGAAGAACCUUACCUGGGCUCGAAGGUAGUGGAAUCGGCUGGAAACAUCGGUGCCCGCAAGGGUCGCUAGAGAGGUGCUGCAUGGCUGUCGUCAGCUCGUGUCGUGAGAUGUUGGGUUAAGUCCCGCAACGAGCGCAACCCUUAUCGUUAGUCGCAUAAGGUCCAAGACAGGCACUCUAGAGAACUGCCUCGGCACUAAGCCGGGAGGAAGGUGGGGAUGACGUCAAGUCCUCAUGGCCUGUAUGUCCAGGGCUACACACGUGCUACAAUGGUCGGUACAAAGCGUCGCAAACCCGCGAGGGGGAGCCAAUCGCGAAAAAAGCCGGCUCCAGUUCGGAUUGGCAGUCCUGCAACCCGCCUCCAUGAAGCUGGAAUCGCUAGUAAUCGCAGAUCAGCACGCCUGCGGUGAAUACGUUCCCGGGCCUUGUACACACCGCCCGUCACAUCACGAAAGCAGGUUGCACUAGAAGCCGGUUCGCCGACCGCAAGGAGGCAGCCGUCCAAGGUGUGGCUUGUGAUUGGGGUG
rnacentral:rRNA from 1 species